rnacentral:rRNA from 1 species
UACGUAGGGGGCGAGCGUUGUCCGAAUUUACUGGGCGUAAAAAGCGCGUAGGCGGGUUCUUAAGUGAGAGGUGAAAGGUUCAGGGCUCAACCCGAUGACAGUGCCUUUCAUACUGGGAGCCUUGAGUGUGGGAGAGGCGAGUGGAAUUUCUGGUGUAGCGGUGAAAUGCGUAGAUAUCAGAAGGAACACCCAUGGCGAAGGCAGCUCGCUGGCCUACAACUGACGCUGAGGCGCGAAAGCGUGGGGAGCAAACAGG